rnacentral:lncRNA from 1 species
UAUUCGAUCCCAAUAUUUCACCAAUAUAGAACCUGGUAGUUUUUGAAAUUAGCAAGGAUGUGCUUGAUUUGUUCUGCAGCCCCUGUCAUAAAAAGAUUUUACUCUCUCUGGUCUCUGUUCUUCAAGUUUGCCUUUGAUUGAUUUCAUGUAAUCUUUGAUGUACUUCUUGUAGGCUUCUUUUGUGAAGCUGGUUUCCUGCAGGUGAUGGUUCAUGACCAUCUUCCCCUCCACCUCCAGGCACAGUCCGCCCGCGAUCUCCCGGAUCUUGUAGAUAAUCAUGAUGGCGGCUGGUAGGAGACGACAGCGGCGGCGCUAGCUUGGCAGGAGCCCGGAGCUCAGAGCGAGCGCGGUGCAGCC